CCUGAAAAAAAAUAGACAGUAACACGUUCUCAAUUAUACAGCGCUUUCCUGUCAUACCGGUGUUUUGUCAGUAAUUAUUUUAAAACGUCGCACUAAUAACUACUACAGCAUCAACGUAUCAUAAGCGCUGGUGCGCACGCAUGUGUGUCACAGUUGAAAGGCAGCCGACGGCGUUUUCUCUGAUAAAAAAACAUGUUUGGUAAAACGGUUUUAAAACCAUCAGAUCUCGACAAAAGCCGAGCUGAAAUCAGCAUUCAAAGAAAAAAAAUCACCGGAAGAGUUGAGAGUGACAGCAGGGCA